rnacentral:rRNA from 1 species
CCAAUAGCGUAUAUUAAAGUUGUUGCAGUUAAAAAGCUCGUAGUUGAAUUUCGGGGUGAGUAGGUUGGUCAUGCCUCUGGUAUGUACUGGUCUCACUGAUUCCUCCUUCCUGAUGAGCCGUAAUGCCAUUAAUUUGCUGUUGCGGGGAGGUUGGACUGUUACUUUGAAAAAAUUAGAGUGUUUAAAGCAAGCUAACGCUUGAAUACAUUAGCAUGGAAUAAUGAAAUAGGACGUUCGAUCCUAUUUUGUUGGUUUCUAGGAUUGACGUAAUGAUUAAUAGGGAUAGUUGGGGGCAUUAGUAUUCAAUUGUCAGAGGUGAAAUUCUUGGAUUUAUUGAAGACUAACUACUGCGAAAGCAUUUGCCAAGGAUGUUUUCAUUAAUCAAGAACGAAAGUUAGGGGAUCGAAGACGAUCAGAUACCGUCGUAGUCUUAACCAUAAACUAUGCCGACUAGGGAUCGGAUGAUGUUAAUUUUUUAAUGACUCAUUCGGCGCCUUACG